CGGAGCAUUGCAGAAAAAGGGGUGGUGAUUUCGAUCAAUUUAUUGAAGUUUCUUAUAUUUACAUUAUACUUCUCAUCUAUAUCGAAACUAAAAGUCGAGAUCUUAAAGAUAGUUGGGAUCAGUUAAAAAGUGAGGUUACAGAAUCUUUAGCAUUAUCACGUCAAACGAUUGUGGUUUCGCUCGGGAGACCUCCGAAAAUACCCAACAGCCAAGUUUUCUCUGCGUGUAUAAGAUAAAAGAAAUCAACAACAAGAAACAGAUCUACAACACUGGCAACACUAGACGCACUAGACAGACAUAGCAGGAAAGGGGAUGAAUAACGUCCAGGCGUUAAAAUCCCAGGGAAAAAAAAAUAUCGUAGCGAUCGUAGCAUACUUUUCAAUCCUAAAAACGCUAGUAUCCGAACUGGAACAAUUGAUUUGCUCCCGAAAAUUAA